rnacentral:snoRNA from 1 species
GGCGUCAAUGAUGGUUCCAACCUACAUUGUUUGAGACACAAUGAGAAAGGCCUGAGCUGAGACGCCC